rnacentral:rRNA from 1 species
GAUGAACGCUGGCGGCGUGCCUAAUACAUGCAAGUCGAGCGAACGGACGAGAAGCUUGCUUUUCUGAUGUUAGCGGCGGACGGGUGAGUAACACGUGGAUAACCUACCUAUAAGACUGGGAUAACUUCGGGAAACCGGAGCUAAUACCGGAUAAUAUUUUGAACCGCAUGGUUCAUAAGUGAAAGACGGUCUUGCUGUCACUUAUAGAUGGAUCCGCGCUGCAUUAGCUAGUUGGUAAGGUAACGGCUUACCAAGGCAACGAUGCAUAGCCGACCUGAGAGGGUGAUCGGCCACACUGGAACUGAGACACGGUCCAGACUCCUACGGGAGGCAGCAGUAGGGAAUCUUCCGCAAUGGGCGAAAGCCUGACGGAGCAAAGCCGCGUGAGUGAUGAAGGUCUUCGGAUCGUAAAACUCUGUUAUUAGGGAAGAACAUAUGUGUAAGUAACUGUGCACAUCUUGACGGUACCUAAUCAGAAAGCCACGGCUAACUACGUG